rnacentral:snoRNA from 1 species
CCCCUCAGAUUCCUUCCCCAUCAAACCUAAACAUGGAUCUGAUUGGUUAAAACCAGAGAAAAAGUAAUAGUGAAAAUGACUGGCCUUCUUUUGUGACCUAAAAGUUAGUUUCAAACAGAG